rnacentral:lncRNA from 1 species
AGACUGCUUUCUCAAGUGGCUUAGUGUCUCCACUCAGGGGUGGUGGAGCUCUUCUUCUCACUGCUUCUUCUCAUUUUUUUCAUGCUCUGGCCUAAUGUCUUGGUGGUAUUAGCCUAGCACAACUUCAGUUGCACUGCAGGUUCUUCAUAAAAUUGAAACACUGUUUCCAGAUUUGGAUUUUCUUCUGCUCUGCCAUGGGUUGUUCACAUUCUCUCAAGGUUGUUACUACUGUUUUACCUUUUUCUACUUGAUAAUUUUGGAAACCGGCUUGAUGGAGGCCCUACAGUGACUAUUCAUUGGCUGAGCCUUUGGAUUAUCUUGGGAGGACCCUGAAAGAAUGACCUGGCCGGAAGAUUGUCCCAUCCUGCAUGAGGAGGGAAGAAUGAGCCUCACUCUACACCCAGAAUGCCAACUACAUUUUCAUCCAGUCCUCAAAAAAUAUCAUGCGCACCCAGAUUCUCCUGGUCAGACCAACACUGUGGAAACCCACUGGAUGCAUUCAGAGGGAUCACUGAUAAUGAAGAAUGAGAUGCCGUCAUCCAUCUGUAGGAAGAUGCUGCGUGUGCCAUAGAACCCAAAAGUCAUCUAUUGCAAGAGAGAAUCGAUUCUCCCAAGUAAACGGGGCCCUAUUAGUUUAAAAACUAAUGCAGCACAGAGAGAAAUCAGGUUCCUCAGACAAUGUUGAUUCUGUUUCCUUUUGAACCAUUAACAGCCUCACUUAAAGCCAUGUAUUGAAAGCUGCGACUUAACGUUAACCACAGUUUCUAAUGCAUUAAACAAAUGGCAAGGAUGACUGUAGGUCAUAGCCCCCUCCCUUCACACAUUAUACGCAAAUGCUUAUCUACUGGGUAUUUAAAGGAGAAAAGUUACAUCUAAACUCACUCCAUAAUGUAUGCUUUCAGCGUGGGAUGCUAAGCAAGUUCUGAUUUUGCGAGCUCAGAGUCACGCUAAAUGCCGGGAAUACAGGUUUCUUCUCAGAAAGGGCGGGCGGCUUUGGCUAAUGUCCUGGGGGAUGUCUUCAAAAUGCAAAGUGUGUGUCUGACCAUGGCCAUGGCAGUCUCAAGUUCCUUUGCCAAGGACUUUGGGGAAAUUCUUCCUCAGGAAACUCACAUAGCGGGAAGAGCAAGAGAGUCACAAAUAGUGCUUAAACCUGGGGUCUAUACCUUUUAACUCUUCAAACAGACAACAGCAGUAAAAAGAGCUCUGCUGCCAGUCUUCAGAGUCUUAACUGAGUUGGAGGCGAACUAUUGUGAAGUAUAAUGUAGUUAGUGACUCUGAAGUUAGUCCACAGAAAGCCAUUCUUUUUAAAUGGACCUACACAACAAUUGCCCCGCACACAAACUGCACAUGCAAUAUUCAAAGCCACUGCUAGGUGCGUUGCUGAGUGCAGAGAGCUGUGCUCCCAGAACCAUCAAGUCAACACGCCAGCUGCUCAGCAUUAUUUACAAUAUAUUGGCUUCACCACUGACCUAAAGAGCUGAAGAAAAUAACAGGCCAUAUUUUCAGCUUGGUAAAAGCCUGCAGUGGGGAGCCCUUUCACAACAAUUACAAGCAUUUGCUCGGAAUGCAUUUGCUGAUUUAACAAACUGGAGAGGACAAAUGUUUAACAUGCUGUCGUGAGGCUGUUCAGUCGCUUUUCUUGGUAUCCGUUGAUCUGAGAUAAUGUGUUCUUGCCCAAUCAUGCUACAAAGAAGCAGCGGAAAUAAAUAAAUAAAUAGAUGUAAUGCGAUGCGUUCCCACAAUAGCUGAGCUGCUGACGGCCCCUGACAGAUGG